CCCUGGAGGGGGCAGCGGAGGAAGGAGGGGCAGCCGACUCGGACGUGGACGCCUUUUUCCGGACAGAUUAGAGGCUAAGUUCCAGUCCUUCUAACUAGGCCUUAAAAGUCUGGGUGGAAUGCACGCUCGCUGGAACCUGUGAACAUUAUAAAACAAGGCGCUCACUGCCUUCUGUGGGCUGGAGAGGCAAGAGGAAGAGCCAGUGUGAAGGUGUAGGAGUUGGAAGGAAGUUGGAAACCGGCUCCUUGUGGCCCUUCACUUGAGAUUCACAAAGAAAAAAAAGAUGUCUCCUUCCUGAAAGCAAAAUGGAAGCUCCUUUCUGCCCAUGAAGCCCUUCCUCACUGAAGCUUAUUCCAAAGGAGAAGCAUGAGUUCUAAAUACCAUCAAAAGAAAUAAGCGUGUCUAAAGGAGACGAGGACAGCUGAGUGCAUAUGCACGUGUGAAACGCAUCUGCUGCACUAAACAAUUCGGCAUGAGUGAGAAAAGGUGCAUGAUGGAGAUAGCACCAGUCUCUCCUUCUA